UGGGGAAUUUUGGACAAUGGGCGAAAGCCUGAUCCAGCAAUGCCGCGUGUGUGAAGAAGGCCUUCGGGUUGUAAAGCACUUUUGUCCGGAAAGAAGUCCUCUGGGUUAAUACCUCGGGGGGAUGACGGUACCGGAAGAAUAAGCACCGGCUAACUACGUGCCAGCAGCCGCGGUAAUACGUAGGGUGCAAGCGUUAAUCGGAAUUACUGGGCGUAAAGCGUGCGCAGGCGGUUUUGUAAGACGGAUGUGAAAUCCCCGGGCUUAACCUGGGAACUGCAUUCGUGACUGCAAGGCUAGAGUAUGGCAGAGGGGGGUAGAAUUCCACGUGUAGCAGUGAAAUGCGUAGAGAUGUGGAGGAAUACCGAUGGCGAAGGCAGCCCCCUGGGCCAAUACUGACGCUCAUGCACGAAAGCGUGGGGAGCAAACAGGAUUAGAUACCCUGGUAGUCCACGCCCUAAACGAUGUCAACUAGUUGUUGGGGAUUCAUUUCCUUAGUAACGUAGCUAACGCGUGAAGUUGACCGCCU
rnacentral:rRNA from 1 species